UGGUCUUGUUUAGGCAGCUAUGUUGGU
rnacentral:piRNA from 1 species